GAAGUUGUGAAUUAAAGUACCCAGUGAUGAGAAUAUGCGGAACUCCUGGUUACAACUAGCUAAAAGAGAUCCCGUAACUCUGUCCAGUUGAACUGCAGUGUAUUUCUGUGAAGCUCACUUUAAUGUACGUACAAUAAACUAACAGCAGAUUAUUUUUUCAAUUUUCACUUUAAACGUUCAGAAUUGCCUAAGGAGGAUGCUGUACCAUUCUUCUGUUGAGGAUAAGAUUUGUGACAAAAUAAUGCAAGCAGAACAAUGUAAUCCUCAGUUCAGAGAUAAGGCAGUGCAAGUUGAGCCAGAACAUCAACAUGCAUCUUGCCAAGUAGUUUCAAAUUAUGAUCACAAGGUCACUCAAGUAUCAAUAAUGAAACACUAUAGAAGUAAGAAGGUGCAAUUUAGUGCAACUCUGAAAGAUGUCAUAUUAUCUUCACCAAUAAAGUCUACGUCCCACCAAUCAACUACAACAUCUCCCAACAAAUCUACAUUUAGAAGUAAAUUGUCAACAAGAAGAUUAGUUUUUUCAAGUGAGGAAAAAUAAAUGACAGUGAUUAUCAUACACACCUUCUUCAGGAUAGCAAAUUUACAAGACUC